UACGUAGGGUGCAAGCGUUAAUCGGAAUUACUGGGCGUAAAGCGUGCGCAGGCGGCUUUGCAAGACAGAUGUGAAAUCCCCGGGCUCAACCUGGGAACUGCAUUUGUGACUGCAUGGCUAGAGUGCGGCAGAGGGGGAUGGAAUUCCGCGUGUAGCAGUGAAAUGCGUAGAUAUGCGGAGGAACACCGAUGGCGAAGGCAAUCCCCUGGGCCUGCACUGACGCUCAUGCACGAAAGCGUGGGGAGCAAACAGGA
rnacentral:rRNA from 1 species